rnacentral:rRNA from 1 species
UAGAGUUUGAUCCAUGGCUCAGGACGAACGCUGGCGGCGUGCUUAACACAUGCAAGUCGAACGGUGAUGGCCAGCUUGCUGGUCUGAUCAGUGGCGAACGGGUGAGUAACACGUGAGCAACCUGCCCCUUACUCUGGGAUAAGCCUUGGAAACGAGGUCUAAUACCGGAUACGAGACGCACGGGCAUCUGUAGCGUCUGGAAAGAUUUAUCGGUGAGGGAUGGGCUCGCGGCCUAUCAGCUUGUUGGUGGGGUAAUGGCCUACCAAGGCGACGACGGGUAGCCGGCCUGAGAGGGCGACCGGCCACACUGGGACUGAGACACGGCCCAGACUCCUACGGGAGGCAGCAGUGGGGAAUAUUGCACAAUGGGCGCAAGCCUGAUGCAGCGACGCCGCGUGCGGGAUGACGGCCUUCGGGUUGUAAACCGCUUUCAGCAGGGAAGAAGCGAAAGUGACGGAC